rnacentral:rRNA from 1 species
CCCUUAGAUGUUCUGGGCCGCACGCGCGCUACACUGAUCAGUGCAACAAGCAUCCGUCCUUGGCCGACAGGCCCGGGCAAUCUUUGAACGCUGAUCGUGAUGGGGAUAGACUUUUGCAAUUUUUGGUCUUCAAUGAGGAAUUCCUAGUAAACGCAAGUCAUCAACUUGCAUUGAUUACGUCCCUGCCCUUUGUACACACCGCCCGUCGCACCUACCGAUUGAAUGGUCCGGUGAAGCCUCCGGAUUGGCGUGCACCCUCGGGUGCUGCCGAGAAGUUGGCUAAACCUUACCAUUUAGAGGAAGGUGAAGUCGUAACA